rnacentral:rRNA from 1 species
GACGAACGCUGGCGGCGUGCCUAAUACAUGCAAGUCGAACGCUUCUUUCCUCCCGAGUGCUUGCACUCAAUUGGAAAGAGGAGUGGCGGACGGGUGAGUAACACGUGGGUAACCUACCCAUCAGAGGGGGAUAACACUUGGAAACAGGUGCUAAUACCGCAUAACAGUUUAUGCCGCAUGGCAUAGAGUGAAAGGCGCUUUCGGGUGUCGCUGAUGGAUGGACCCGCGGUGCAUUAGCUAGUUGGUGAGGUAACGGCUCACCAAGGCCACGAUGCAUAGCCGACCUGAGAGGGUGAUCGGCCACACUGGGACUGAGACACGGCCCAGACUCCUACGGGAGGCAGCAGUAGGGAAUCUUCGGCAAUGGACGAAAGUCUGACCGAGCAACGCCGCGUGAGUGAAGAAGGUUUUCGGAUCGUAAAACUCUGUUGUUAGAGAAGAACAAGGACGUUAGUAACUGAACGUCCCCUGACGGUAUCUAACCAGAAAGCCACGGCUAACUACGUG